rnacentral:rRNA from 1 species
UACGGGGGGAGCAAGCGUUGUUCGGAUUUAUUGGGCGUAAAGGGCGCGUAGGCGGCGGGGUAAGUCGGGUGUGAAAUCUCAGGGCUCAACCCUGAAACUGCACUUGAUACUGCUCUGCUUGAGGACUGGAGAGGAGACUGGAAUUCACGGUGUAGCAGUGAAAUGCGUAGAUAUCGUGAGGAAGACCAGUGGCGAAGGCGGGUCUCUGGACAGUUCCUGACGCUGAGGCGCGAAGGCCAGGGGAGCAAACGGG